rnacentral:rRNA from 1 species
AACGAACGCUGGCGGCAUGCCUAACACAUGCAAGUCGAACGAGACCUUCGGGUCUAGUGGCGUACGGGUGCGUAACGCGUGGGAACCUGCCCUUAGGUUCGGAAUAACUCCCCGAAUGGGGUGCUAAUACCGGAUAAUGUCUUCGGCCCAAAGAUUUAUCGCCUUUGGUUGGGCCCGCGUUGGAUUAGCUAGUUGGUAGGGUAAAAGCCUACCAAGGCGACGAUCCAUAGCUGGUCUGAGAGGAUGAUCAGCCACACUGGGACUGAGACACGGCCCAGACUCCUACGGGAGGCAGCAGUGGGGAAUAUUGGACAAUGGGCGAAAGCCUGAUCCAGCGAUGCCGCGUGAGUUAUGAAGGCCUUAGGGUUGUAAAGCUCUUUUACCCGGGAUGAUAAUGACAGUACCGGGAGAAUAAGCUCCGGCUAACUCCGUG